UACGAGUGCCCCGAGCGUUAUCCGGAAUUAUUGGGCGUAAAGGGUGUGUAGGUGGUUAUGUUAGUCUUCUGUUAAAGCUCUCGGCUCAACCGGGAACAUGCAGAGGAAACGGCAUGACUAGAGGAUGUAAGAGGUGUACAGAACUCAUGGUGUAGGGGUGAAAUCCGUUGAUAUCAUGGGGAAUACCAAAAGCGAAGGCAGUACACUGGUGCAUUCCUGACACUGAGACACGAAAGCGUGGGUAGCGAAUGGG
rnacentral:rRNA from 1 species